rnacentral:tRNA from 2 species
GGGGCGAUAGCUCAGUUGGUUAGAGCAAGGGACUCAUAAUCCCUGGGUCGUGGGUUCAAGCCCCACUCGCCCCA